GUGCCAGGCGGACAAACACAGGGACGGUCCAGCAAAGGAGCAGCGACCUUUGUCCAGGGUACUUGUCGUAAUGCGUAUCCCAACACCAAACUGAAAUUUCAAAGGACAACAGAUGGGACUCAGACGAGGAGUCAGGCUGCCACAGGUAGCCCGUCAAAGGCGAUACUUGGGAACCUGCCCCAGACCCGGAGGAGAGAGCGGCCCGGAACGUGGUUGAGCCGGCGCCCGGCACGGGGGCCACCCAGCCUCCGGCUCUGUUACGGAAGCCUGAAGUGACCAAGGCAGAUGCAAGGAGCCUCAUGGGUGCCUGAGGACACUGGGGUUCCCUGGUCUGGGGACCCAAGCCUGCACCCUUCACCAGUCGAUCAGAGGGCCCCUUGUUUCUGAAACAGCAAGCCUAAUGCAUGACACGAGCUACCAACACGUGAACACUCACCAAGUCAGGCCUGUUUAAAAGUGCCCUACAGACACAUGCAACAAGCUGGGUUUGUCUGAUCAAGAUGCAGAAGGUUCCUGCUUCCCCCGCCCAAGGCUCCCUCACGUCCAGUUCACGGUCCCCCUCCCCCAAGAAACCGCUCCUCUGAUCUCUAACACCGAAGAUUGUUUUUGCUGGUUUUCAAAAAAUUAAGGUAUAUUAUAAACAGUGAUAUGCUCCACUCUUAAGUGCACAGUUUGGAGACUGUUCCUUGCAUGCGCUCCUGAGUAACCACCACCCAAAUCAACUUCUGGCAGCCCCGGGCUCCCUCCUGCCCUUUUCCAUCCGUACCUCCUCCAUGGAGGCAGCCACUCUUCUGGUUCCUGUCUCCGUGGGUUAG